GUUGAACGCUGGCGGCAGGCCUAACACAUGCAAGUCGAGCGGAUGAAGGGAGCUUGCUCCUGGAUUCAGCGGCGGACGGGUGAGUAAUGCCUAGGAAUCUGCCCGGUAGUGGGGGAUAACGUCCGGAAACGGGCGCUAAUACCGCAUACGUCCUGAGGGAGAAAGUGGGGGAUCUUCGGACCUCACGCUAUCAGAUGAGCCUAGGUCGGAUUAGCUAGUUGGUGGGGUAAAGGCCUACCAAGGCGACGAUCCGUAACUGGUCUGAGAGGAUGAUCAGUCACACUGGAACUGAGACACGGUCCAGACUCCUACGGGAGGCAGCAGUGGGGAAUAUUGGACAAUGGGCGAAAGCCUGAUCCAGCCAUGCCGCGUGUGUGAAGAAGGUCUUCGGAUUGUAAAGCACUUUAAGUUGGGAGGAAGGGCAGUAAGUUAAUACCUUGCUGUUUUGACGUUACCAACAGAAUAAGCACCGGCUAACUUCGUG
rnacentral:rRNA from 1 species